UUGUCCCCUAAAUAGGGACUGGAAUGAACGGCUAAAUGAGGAUAAAACUGUCUCUUACGGACUAGCCAAUGAAAUUGAUCUUCCAGUACAAAAGCUGGAAUAAACCCAUAAGACGAGAAGACCCUGUGGAGCUUUAAAACCAAAGCCACUAAACAUGCCUCUUGGAUUUUUAGUUGGGGCGACUUUGGAGCAAAAAAAAACCUCCAAAACAUGAACUUAGUUAUUUAGACUAACACACCAAAAAACUCUACUAGACCCAGCAGUAUCCCAUACUGUCUGACCAAUGAACCAAGUUACCCCAGGGAUAACAGCGCCAUCCUCUUCUAGAGUCCCUAUCGACAAGAGGGUUUACGACCUCGAUGUUGGAUCAGGACACC
rnacentral:rRNA from 1 species